rnacentral:rRNA from 1 species
GAUGAACGCUGGCGGCGUGCCUAAUACAUGCAAGUCGAACGGGGUGUUUGAGCAAUCGGACACUUAGUGGCGAACGGGUGAGUAACGCGUUGGUGACCUGCCCCAAAGCGGGGGAUAACAGCCUGAAAGGGUUGCUAAUACCGCAUAUGAUGAUGAGAGACUAGAAACUUAUCAUUAAAGGAGAAAUCCACUUUGGGAGGGGCCUGCGUCCCAUCAGCUAGUUGGUAGGGUAAAAGCCUACCAAGGCGAAGACGGGUAGGGGACCUGAGAGGGUGACCCCCCACAAUGGAACUGAAACACGGUCCAUACACCUACGGGUGGCAGCAGUAGGGGAUAUUGCACAAUGGGCGGAAGCCUGAUGCAGCAACGCCGCGUGAGUGAUGAAGGCCCUCGGGUCGUAAAACUCUUUUCAAGAGGAAGAGGAAGGACGGUACUCUUGGAAUAAGCCUCGGCUAACUACGUGCCAGCAGCCGCGGUAACACGUAGGAGGCGAGCGUUAUUCGGAUUUACUGGGCGUAAAGCGCGUGUAGGCGGCUGAUCAAGUUGGAUGUGAAAGCUCCCGGCUUAACUGGGAGAGGACGUUCAAAACUGAACAGCUUGAGUAUGAGAGAGGAAAAUGGAAUUCCGGGUGUAGUGGUGAAAUGCGUAGAUAUCCGGAGGAACACCAGUGGCGAAGGCGAUUUUCUGGCUCAAGACUGACGCUCAGACGCGAAAGCUAGGGUAGCAAACGGGAUUAGAGACCCCGGUAGUCCUAGCUGUAAACGAUGUAGACUUGGCGUUGGGGGAGUAAAAUCCUUCAGUGCCGCAGCAAACGCGAUAAGUCUACCGCCUGGGGACUACGGCCGCAAGGUUAAAACUCAAAGGAAUUGACGGGGCCCCGCACAAGCAGCGGAGCGUGUGGUUUAAUUCG